rnacentral:rRNA from 1 species
CGAACCUCGGGUUAGUGGCGAACGGGUGAGUAACACGUGGGCAACCUGCCUCGAGCUCUGGGAUAACACCGGGAAACCGGUGCUAAUACCGGAUAUGAACAGAGAAGGCAUCUUUUCUGUUGGAAAGUUUUUCGGCUCGAGAUGGGCCCGCGGCCUAUCAGCUUGUUGGUGGGGUAACGGCCUACCAAGGCGACGACGGGUAACCGGCCUGAGAGGGCGACCGGUCACACUGGGACUGAGACACGGCCCAG